rnacentral:pre_miRNA from 2 species
AGGGUGAGGGUUGCGGUUUUGCUGGUACUGAGGUAAUACCUGCCCCCAGUACCAGAAAUGCCGCCAUCCUCCUCCUAC